rnacentral:lncRNA from 1 species
GCCAUAUUUAUAAUUGCAUGUUUAAAGCAAUCUUCUUAUGGUAAUUGCAUUGUAUGGCCGACUCUAAGAAGGGGGAAAUUGCAAAUUUAUAUUUCCAGAGUUUACUGAGAUGUGCUGUCUUUUAUAGGUAAAAUUGUAUUGUGUAAAAUUCAGAGUAGAAAAUGAAGCUUCUAUUUCAGUGUGACUCAGACCACAUUACUAAAUGUUCAGAAGGCUCAGCAUAAAAAAUUAGGUGUUCACUAUUUCUCAAAGAGGUCAUUGCUUAAAUUCCAAAUUAAUUUUCAAAUGAAGCUGCUACAAAAGAAUCAAUAAACUUUGUAUGACAAAGCAAAACUCUGUCGGUGCCUUGAAGAUAAAUGAUACACAGAUUCUUCAUGGAGAGGAGGGGUUUCAAUGGCCUUUGCAGCUUCCCAAUGCAGGCUGGUGCUCAUAGUUCCUUCUGGAAAAAUUUCAAGAUAAGAAACAAGUAUAAGGUGGUAAAAUAUACCCAAGCUACCAAAACAGCCAAACCUAUUGACUUCAAAUGCAUUAUUUAUUGCUAAGAUGUUUCUUCCUGACACUUUAGACAGCAACAAUUAAGUGAAUUAACCUGCUUUUGUGGAAAGAAAAUAAAACACUUUAUGCUAUCUCUUUCUCAAAGUACCUAACAUAAGCUGAUGGGGUAGGGUGAGAGUCAUGUUCAUCCACACCUUCAGAUGAAAAAAAAUUGAUGUCUAGGCUUUAUGAACAAAUGAGUAAUUAGACAUUCAACCAACAUUGAUUUUUAUUAAUUGUCUAGACUAUUCCAGGCACUGCUCAGAAUGUUGGGGAAACAUCUGUGAACAAAAUGUUCCUUCCCACAGGCGGUUUACAUUUUUAGUUGUAGACGCAAAAACUAAAAUGAUAAGAAAAAUCAUCUAAUGUGACACAAAAGUAAACAAGGUAGAAAUAAAGUAGUCAAGGGCACUAUUUUAAACAUAUAGUGAGGGACGUUUCCCUUAAGAAAGAGACAUCCAAGCAAAGAUCAGGAGAGAGUGAGAAAGUAUGGGAAGAAGUGGUCAUUAGCAUUAGUGCAAGAGCCCAGGGUUGUGAAUGAAGUUAGACUACAAGAGGAUGC